GCCCAAGCCGAGGGGUGGUCGUUACGGCCUGAGAUCCAUCACAGAUGGGAACCCUUUAAACCUGAUCCAGUUAAUACUGGCGUAGGAACAGGCUGCAGCCCAUCUU
rnacentral:ncRNA from 2 species